rnacentral:rRNA from 1 species
UACAGAGGGUGCAAGCGUUGCUCGGAAUCAUUGGGCGUAAAGGGCAAGUAGGUGGUCUCAUUUGUCUUGUGUGAAAUCCUUGGGCUUAACUCAAGAAGUGUGCAAGAAACGGUGAGACUAGAGUUCUGGAGAGGGUCGUGGAAUUCCCGGUGUAGCGGUGAAAUGCGUAGAGAUCGGGAGGAACACCUAUGGCGAAGGCAGCUCGCUGGGACGUUACUGACGCUGAGACGCGAAAGCGUGGGGAGCAAACAGG